GAGAGCGGCGUACGGGUGCGGAACACGUGUGCAACCUGCCUUUAUCAAGGGGAUAGCCUUUCGAAAGGAAGAUUAAUACCCUAUAAUAUAUGAUUCGGCAUCGGAUUAUAUUGAAAACUACGGUGGAUAAAGAUGGGCACGCGCAAGAUUAGCUAGUUGGUGAGGUAACGGCUCACCAAGGCGACGAUCUUUAGGGGGCCUGAGAGGGUGAUCCCCCACACUGGUACUGAGACACGGACCAG
rnacentral:rRNA from 1 species